rnacentral:rRNA from 1 species
CCCUUAGAUGUUCUGGGCUGCACGCGCGCUACACUGAUGCAUCCAACAAGUUUUCUCCCUUGUUCGGUAGGACUGGGUAAUCUUUUGAGUAUGCAUCGUGAUGGGGAUAGAUUAUUGCAAUUAUUAAUCUUCAACGAGGAAUGCCUAGUAGGCGCAAGUCAUCAGCUUGCGUCGAUUACGUCCCUGCCCUUUGUACACACCGCCCGUCGCUCCUACCGAUUGGGUGUGCUGGUGAAAUGUUCGGAUCGGCCGUUUGUCGCGGUUUCCGCGUCAUGUGGCUGAGAAGUUCAUUAAACCCUCCCACCUAGAGGAAGGAGAAGUCGUAACA